AGAAGGGUGUCGGAUCUCAAUCACAUUCAAGACCUGAAACUUGUGAAGAUUUCUUAUCCAACCCUGCAGCUCCCAAUCUCCAAACAGUAUUGACUGAUACCAAGUUGCAGAGUGUGAGCCCCUCAGACCAGAACCAGAGAGCAAUGGAGUGAUAGCAACCAUGACAUGACCGAAAGCAGAGAAAGGUUGCCACAGAGGUGGGUCACAGCACCAGGCUGGGGCAGCGCAUUCCUGAAAGGCAGCACCCAUGGAAGGGGCCCAUGCUGAAGCACUUUGUGAGGAGCUGCAAGCCAUGGGAAAGACUCACCCUGGAGAAGUCCCUGGAAGACAGUCCUCCAUCAGAAGGGUCCAUCAGGGGAAGAGUGUGAGGAGGUCUCCCCCUGUGGAAGAAGCAUCAGAGGAAAUGUGUUCAUCUUUAAGAUUUCUCACUAGAAAACAGCAGUUGAAAAGAUUAUCUUAUAGCAGUACUAAAUAAUAGACUGUUCUGCGACAUUCAAAGGUCUGAGGCUCCCUGUGGAACUAAUGACAUUUGUACAGCAAGUCAGGCUGCUUCUGCAAAGGACGAUGGUGGAAGAGGGAAAAUGAUAUUUUUUUUGACAGAAUGUUAACCCCAAGUUGCCAGGUCUUCUAAAAGAAAACUGCAAAUAAGAGAGCUCUAAUAACAUUUCUAAUAAAGAACCAAAGUCUUAGAUGAAUUUUAAACUCAUACACUUCACUGAUUUUGGUGUUCACAGCUGAUGGUCUGUCCCUGACACUUGGUAGAGAGGAAAUAAAUGCCAUAUUGCUGUGCUCUGACAACAGAUCAGUAAGGUACAUUUUCUCAGAAGAUAUAAUAAGCACUUUAUUAAGGACACUUCCUUUUGCUUGUCAUUGCAACACUCUAUUUUUUCUUUUCUUUUAAACGCUGGAGUUUAAAAGGUUCCUCUGGACUUGUUUGAAGUACGGUUAGCUCAGCCAUUAAGCAUUGUCAUGGCCUCCAAAUGAGAACUGUUCCUAUAUUUAAUCCACUUCUAUACUGAAAAAAUAUUAAGAGAGAAUUAA